GCCUCAGCCAACACACUGAGAGAGAGCCUGCAGCCUCAAAAGAAACCUUGAGUCAGAGGCACCCAGCCCUGGGGGAAGCCAGUCACAGUUCAUGAGGAGACUCAAAAAGUCCUAUGGAGAGGUCCAUGUGGUCAUAAGCUGAGGUCUCCUGCCAAUAGCCAGCACCAACUUGCCAGAUCUGUGAAUGAGCCAUCUUGGAAGCAGAUCAUUCAGUGUGGUCAAGCCUUUGGUUGGCUGCAGCCCCAGAAGACAUCUUGACUGCAAUCUCAUGAGCAAUCUGAAGCCAGAACCACCAAGUUCCCUGUGGGCACAGAAGGCUUCAGUGGUCAGAAGAAGCCUGCAGGCAAAGAGAUGCAGAUGUUGGCAGUUGGAAGUCAUGCCUGGGUGUAAUGAAAAGUAAAGG